GUGCUUUCACUAGGGCCUCAUGCUGCUUAGUGGCCGAUUUGCAGGGAAUCUGGGCACAGUCUCAAUAACACCAGGGCCAAAAAUAACAACGUUCCUGAGAACCAGAGCAGCUGGAGCGCACCCCAUGGAAGCUGGGCCAUCUCCCCGGGGACUAGUGCCUGACAGAGCUGACAGAGUUCUAGGCCACAUGUGGGCUAGAAGGAACCGCCAUGUCUACCACAGCACAGUCCUUAAACAAGAGCCUUUUGAAGCACUUGGACUCAAAACAAUGGCUGUUUUUGUUGUUGUUUGUUUGUUUGUUUUGAGGGAGCCAGAAAGCUAAAAAAUGUAAAAGAAGCAGGUCAUGUUAGAUGUGAUUUCAGACAGCCUCCCCAAAGGACAGAUGAUCUCACUUGGCAACACAUACUGGGCCAGGCUCACUCAUGAGGGGGCAGCGUGGCAUGCACCCCACUCAGGGGCAAGAAUGAGGCUGAAAUAUUAGCUGACUCAGAACAUAGCAAGUGCUCAGUAAUGGCUUCUGGAACGAACCCGUGGUUGUCACCAGCAGGAGUGAUGAAAGCUAGAAGCCGUUUCACCAUCCAGGGAAGAGGAGGAACAAUAUUUUUCUCUUUGGAGUUCCCACACUCCGAAGAGAGAACACCAGCACAUGAACACAGAGUGUCACAUGAUGUAGGAAACGUCCUAUCCAGUCAUUGUGAAGAAUCGGAGGCACGGGGAGAUUAAGAGAGCUACUCAAGAAGACACGGUGCCAGGUUUCUACCCAAGCCAUUUGGAUCUAGGGUCUGGAGGCCAUGUGCACCAUUUUGCAUUAGAUUAACGCUUUAAUUCAGUUCACAGUUAGACAAUACACGUUCCCCAUCUAUAUCUAUACCCAUCUGGAAGGCGUCAAAAAGAUAAUAAACCGAUAGUGUCAUGUGCCAUGACCCAGCUAACAAAGAGGCUCUGGGUUCCAAUGCCACAGUCUUUCAUGGGAUUCCAUCGACCUCAUGCCCUGCUCCCCUCCCCAACAGAGAUAGAAACAUUAUCCUGAAUUUUGUGUUUAUCAUCCCUUGUUUCUCUCUAUAGUUUUGACACUUACAGUUGUAUGAUUUUUAUUUGUUUGUUUUUUGUUUUUUGAGACGGCAUCUCGCUCUGUCACCAGGCUGGAGUGCAGUGGCGUGAUCUCAGCUCUGCCUCCCAAGUUCAAGCCAUCCUCCUGCCUCAGCCUCCCAGGUAGCUGGGACUACAGGCACACGCCACCAUGCCCAGCUAAUUUUUGUAUUUUUAGUAGAGACAGGGUUUCACCUUAUGGUUGUAUCUUUAAACAAUGUCUUGUUUAGUUUUGCCAUGUUUUCGGACUGUGAAUAAAUAGAACUAUGCUGUGUG